rnacentral:rRNA from 1 species
UUAGAGUUUGAUCCUGGCUCAGGAUGAACGCUAGCGGCAGGCUUAACACAUGCAAGUCGAGGGGCAGCGAGAUCAGUGCUUGCACUGAUUGUCGGCGACCGGCGCACGGGUGCGUAACGCGUAUGCAACCUACCCAUUACAGGGGGAUAACACUGAGAAAUCGGUACUAAUACCCCAUAACAUCCAGGGAGGCAUCUUCUUGGGUUGAAAACUCCGGUGGUAAUGGAUGGGCAUGCGUUGUAUUAGUUAGUUGGUGGGGUAACGGCUCACCAAGACAACGAUACAUAGGGGGACUGAGAGGUUAACCCCCCACAUUGGUACUGAGACACGGACCAAACUCCUACGGGAGGCAGCAGUGAGGAAUAUUGGUCAAUGGACGCAAGUCAGAACCAGCCAUGCCGCGUGCAGGAAGACGGCUCUAUGAGUUGUAAACUGCUUUUGUACGAGGGUAAACGCAGAUACGCGUAUCUGUCUGAAAGUAUCGUACGAAUAAGGAUCGGCUAACUCCGUGCCAGCAGCCGCGGUAAUACGGAGGAUUCAAGCGUUAUCCGGAUUUAUUGGGUUUAAAGGGUGCGUAGGCGGUCGGAUAAGUUAGAGGUGAAAUCCCGGGGCUCAACUUCGGAAUUGCCUCUGAUACUGUUCGGCUAGAGAGUAGUUGCGGUAGGCGGAAUGUAUGGUGUAGCGGUGAAAUGCUUAGAGAUCAUACAGAACACCGAUUGCGAAGGCAGCUUACCAAGCUACUUCUGACGUUGAGGCACGAAAGCGUGGGGAGCAAACAGGAUUAGAUACCCUGGUAGUCCACGCAGUAAACGAAUGAUAACUCGUUGUCGGCGAUACAGUGUCGGUGACUAAGCGAAAGCGAUAAGUUAUCCACCUGGGGAGUACGUUCGCAAGAAUGAAACUCAAAGGAAUUGACGGGGGCCCGCACAAGCGGAGGAACAUGUGGUUUAAUUCGAUGAUACGCGAGGAACCUUACCCGGGCUUGAAAGUUAGUGACGGAUCUUGAAAGAGGUCUUCCCUUCGGGGCACGAAACUAGGUGCUGCAUGGUUGUCGUCAGCUCGUGCCGUGAGGUGUCGGGUUAAGUCCCAUAACGAGCGCAACCCCUACCGUUAGUUGCCAGCAGGUCAAGCUGGGCACUCUGACGGGACUGCCGGUGUAAGCCGAGAGGAAGGUGGGGAUGACGUCAAAUCAGCACGGCCCUUACGUCCGGGGCUACACACGUGUUACAAUGGCAGGUACAGAGGGCAGCUACCCAGCGAUGGGAUGCGAAUCUCGAAAGCCUGUCUCAGUUCGGAUUGGAGGCUGAAACCCGCCUCCAUGAAGUUGGAUUCGCUAGUAAUCGCGCAUCAGCCAUGGCGCGGUGAAUACGUUCCCGGGCCUUGCACUCACCGCCCGUCAAG